UACGAAGGGGGCUAGCAUUGUUCGGAAUUACUGGGCGUAAAGCGUGCGCAGGCGGCUUCUCAAGUCAGGGGUGAAAGCCCAGAGCUCAACUCUGGAAUUGCCUUUGAGACUGAGUGGCUUGAGUACGGGAGAGGUGAGUGGAAUUCCCAGUGUAGAGGUGAAAUUCGUAGAUAUUGGGAAGAACACCGGUGGCGAAGGCGGCUCACUGGCCCGUAACUGACGCUCAUGCACGACAGCGUGGGGAUCAAACAGG
rnacentral:rRNA from 1 species